GGAGAUCCUGCACUACACCAUUAACAUUUGUGGUAAUCUGUUGCAACAGCACAAGGAAACUAUACAGCUGUGCUUUCCCUGCCUGGAUUAUUUUCAAAUCACCAUAGAAGCUUUCAUGACUUCCAGAAGUACUUUGAGUUGAGAGUAUCAGCUAGGACACCGACCUCUGCAUAAUGUCACUGAGACUUACAGCCUGGGUCUAAGUUAAAAGAUGAAGACUGCAUCAUGAAGCACUACUCUUUCCCCCUGCAAUAACCUCCAGAUGACAUCUUCUGACAAAGUUGGUGGCCUCCUAAAUCAAAGCCAAAUCAGUGGACUCUGAAGUCACAUUAUUUAAUGACUUAAUCUUCACAAAGGCAAUUCACUGAAGGGGAUUUUGGUGGAGGAUACUAUAAAUGGGAUACUAAAUAAGAUACUGUGAUAAGAGACAUUUAUUUACUCACAGUGAUCUGUUGAUUUUUUUUAAUGCAUUCCUUCAAUUGAGUAGAAAAAUAAGAAAUUAUGUACAUGUUUCCAACUGUUCAUAUUCCAGCUGGGAAUUGUGUUGUAACAGUCAACAACACAUUAGCAAAUUGAUUUAACAUUCUGUUAAAUUAGCAAAUUGAUUGCACUGGUUAUGCUAUUUGAUAUAUGCAUGCAAAGACUAAGUAAAAUGCUGUCUUACAUUUAAGUAUUUGUAAAUGAAGAGAGACAGUUUUUCUCUUAAGAAUUAAAACACUAUUCAGAACUCUGUCAAACUACAACUGGUUGUUGUCUAAUGUGUCUAAUGUGAACUAAGAGACUUAACGCCAUGAAUUUAAAGAUCAGAUUAACUGGAUUUGUGUAACCAAAUAUUGGAGCACAUUACCUAUGUGGUUAAGGUGUGUGACUUGAAAUUAUUAUAACUUUCAACUUUUCAUCCAUAAUGUUGAAAUGAGGUAGGGCAAAUUAGAUCAGCUAAAUAUUAUU